rnacentral:rRNA from 1 species
GAUGAACGCUGGCGGCGUGCCUAAUACAUGCAAGUCGAACGAUGAAGCCGGAGCUUGCUCUGGUGAAUUAGUGGCGAACGGGUGAGUAACACGUGAGUAACCUGCCCUUGACUCUGGGAUAACUGCGGGAAACUGUAGCUAAUACCGGAUACGACCCUCGGAGGCAUCUCCUGGGGGUGGAAAGAAUUUCGGUCAAGGAUGGACUCGCGGCCUAUCAGCUAGUUGGUGAGGUAACGGCUCACCAAGGCGACGACGGGUAGCCGGCCUGAGAGGGUGACCGGCCACACUGGGACUGAGACACGGCCCAGACUCCUACGGGAGGCAGCAGUGGGGAAUAUUGCACAAUGGGCGCAAGCCUGAUGCAGCAACGCCGCGUGAGGGAUGACGGCCUUCGGGUUGUAAACCUCUUUUAGCAGGGAAGAAGCGAAAGUGACGGUACCUGCAGAAAAAGCACCGGCUAACUACGUGCCAGCCGCCGCUGUAA